rnacentral:rRNA from 1 species
UUACGGUCUUAUCAUGUUGAAACACCAGGUUCCUCUACAAUCCCAAAGUUAAGCAACGUCGAGCCUGAUCAGUACCUAGAUGGGUGACUGCUUGGGAAUACCAGAUGCU